rnacentral:ncRNA from 1 species
UUAGUUGAUUUUGUCUCUGUUGCAAUAAACAUAAUUAUUUUAAAUCUUUCUCGCUUUGCAUGAAAUGCACAUUUUUUAUAAACCUUCAAGAAAGGUUGUCUAAAAUAAAUUUUGAUUUUAAUAUUUAUUAUUUGCUAAUAAAUUUAAAUCCAAUAGAUUGCGAACCAUUCAAUUUAAAUUAUUUAUCAUUAAUUGGAAAUUUAUUUAAUACGUUGAACACAUAAAAAAGAUAACCAACAAAAAAUUUGAAAGAAUAAAAUUCCGUUUUUUUAGUUGCUGUACACAACUCGACCACUCGCCGCUUAAAAUUGAUAAGAAAAGGAGGGGUAUUGGGUAUUUGAAAUGGCAACUAGAUGUUAUGAUUUAUUUGUUGUUUGUUUUUCUUACAUUAUAAAAUUCAUUUUUUACUUAAAAUAAUUUGAAGGGCCAAAAUCACGUUGAGGUAAAGCGCGCAGCCGAAUUUUAAAAUUUAUAUCAUUAUUUAGGUAUUAUAGUUCGUAUAACUUCGUAUAAUGUAUGCUAUACGAAGUUAUUACGGAUUUUCGGUGUUCAGCCGCACGAAAUUGAGCAAUAACAGGUCUGUGAUGCCCUUAGAUGUCCGGGGCUGCACGCGCGCUACACUGGCAAAAUCAGCGUGCUUGUCCUUCCCCGAAAGGGGUUGGUAAACCGGUGAAAAUUUGCCGUGAUUGGGAUCGGACAUUGCAAUUAUUGUCCGUGAACGAGGAAUUCCUUGUAGGGGCGAGUCAUCAACUCGCUCUGAAUACGUCCCUGCCCUUUGUACACACCGCCCGUCGCUGCCCGGGACUGAGCCAUUUCGAGAAACUCGGGGACGAUUAUGCGUGUCGGCUUCGGUCGUCGCGUUGAUUGGAACCGAUUUAAUCGCAGUGGCUUGAACCGGGCAAAAGUCGUAACAAGGUAGCUGUAGGUGAACCUGCUGCUGGAUCAUUA